rnacentral:rRNA from 1 species
CGAGUGCCCCAAGCGUUAUCCGGAAUUAUUGGGCGUAAAGGGUGUGUAGGUGGUUCUAUUAGUCUUCUGUUAAAGCUCUCGGCUCAACCGGGAAAAUGCAGAGGAAACGGUAGAACUAGAGGAUGCGAGAGGUGUGUAGAACUCAUAGUGUAGGGGUAAAAUCCGUUGAUAUUAUGGGGAAUACCAAAAGCGAAGGCAGCACACUGGCGCACUCCUGACACUGAGACACGAAAGCGUGGGUAGCGAAUGGGAUUAGAUACCCCAGUAGUCCACGCCCUAAACGAUGUACAUUUGCUUUUCGGAGUAUCGACCCUCUGAGAGGCGUAGCUAACGCGUUAAAUGUACCGCCUGGGUAGUACGAUCGCAAGAUUA